GCACAAGCAGCGGAGCGUGUGGUUUAAUUCGUUGCUACACGAAGAACCUUACCUGGGUUUGACAUAUAGGUUGUAGGGAACUGAAAAGGGACCGACCCUUCGGGAGCCUAUACAGGUGUUGCAUGGCUGUCGUCAGCUCGUGUCGUGAGAUGUUCGGUUAAGUCCGCUAACGAGCGCAACCCUCGUCGUAUGUUAUAUGUGUCAUACGAGACUGCCGGUAAAAGCCGGAGGAAGGUGAGGAUGAUGUCAAGUCAGCAUGACCUUUAUAUCCAGGGCUACACACACGCUACAAUGGUCUGUACAAUGGGUAGCCAAGCCGCGAGGCGGAGCCAAUCCUGAAAGCAGGCCUCAGUUCAGAUUGCAGUCUGCAACUCGACUGCAUGAAGCCGGAGUUGCUAGUAACCGCAGGUCAGCAAUACUGCGGUGAAUACGUUCCCGGGUCUU
rnacentral:rRNA from 1 species